AGAGACUGGAUACUGGAAUUUCUGGUGGAGGGACAGAGGCUCUUACAGGAAUCAUACAGCCCAGGCUUAUACUGGUUAUUAAAGCGUGGAUUAGCAGAAAAUCUAGUAUCACAAGCAAUCUGAAUUUUAAGCUGAAUGAUUUAUGAUGUGAAGAUAAUAUUGAUAUAACAUUAUGAAUGUUGUACUGCAUCUGAGAAGCAAGAGCAUCAGUUAUGAAGAUACAGAUUUUAAAGAUGCAUUCUGCUAUGUGAAGGUUCCUGAGCUUUCCUGGAGACAGCACAAGCAACAGGUGUUUAGAGCUAGACAGAGCAUUUGAAAUUCUUUAAUUUUCUGGCAUUUUCAUCAUUCAGAAUAAGCUGAAGAAUAACAGUGAAGUGCUGUAAGUAAAGCUGAAAACAUUGUCCUGGCACUAUGGGUCAUGUCAUGCUUCUCUACAUAUGGAUUCAGUUUUCCAGAAAUGUGAU